rnacentral:tRNA from 4 species
GGCGAAGUAGCUCAGUUGGCUAGAGCACACGGUUCAUACCCGUGGUGUCGAGGGUUCGAAUCCCCCCUUCGCUA